UGAAGGCAAUUCACCUGUGCUGCUGGAAGGGGUGGAGCCUGGCUGCACCUCUCCUAGACCUAUUUAAGAGCUGGCUACCAGUGGGGAAGGAUCUCAUCUGGAGAUCUACUCUGCUGGAGUUUCAUGAGUGAGCCCAGGAUACAGGCUUACCCUUUACAGUGAGGGCAACUGGAGCAGAGCUCUGUGCAAGGCCACUGAUGUUGUAAAGGAUACUGCUCAGCAGGCCAAGCACCAUCUGGAUAAUUGUUUAGAGGUGAUUGGAAUCCAGUUGUGUGGAGCCAAAUACGCAUUGUACUCCUUUGAGAGAAAGCAUGAUCCGCAUCAUCUCAUGCAGUGUGUGCUGAACUGGGUGCCCCCAGGGCUGCAGAGCCAAUCAAAGCAAGGAGAAUUUAGUUGCAGCAGGAGCUGAGCUGUGGGAGAGGAGAUUGAUGCAGGCAUCUCCAGCCCUGAUUCCUCAGUAAACUGUGAAUGAAGAAAUAAUUCAAGAAAAAGCAAACCAGCUGAGAGUGAAACAGUAUUUGGAUAAAAAUCCAGCUGUGGUGGCAUGAGUACCUCAGUGAGCAUCACCUACUGAGACUGCAUGACCUUGCGGAAGUGGGGUAGAAGUUAUAGGCUCUGUGGUCAGUUCAUAAACCACAGAGCCAAGAGUAGCCAAAUCAGGCUUGAGAUUUCUGCAAGGGCUUCACUGCCAUGCACACGAUGGCAGUGAGGAUUAGACAUCAUGGAGCAUCUGGAUGUGGCUCUGCACAGCCUGAUCUAGUGGUUGGUGACCCUGCACAUAGUAAGGAGGUUGAAACUAGAUGAUCUUUAUGGUCCUUUUCAACCCAGGCCAGUCUAUGAUUCUAAGAUUCUAUAAUCUUAGAGUGUUGGGAAAGAUCUGGAAGUGCCAACAAAGAGGAUGGCAGUAGACUACAUGGGGCUGGCUUCCUGCAUGGGAGUGUGCAGUGAUACAGGUUCUGUGAGGGACCGAGAGACAUAUAGGGGAGUCUGUAAUUCUUUAUCAGUUUGGCAAAUUCUGCAGUGAGAGAGUCUGCUCUGAAAAUAUGGGCUUUACCAAAACAAAGCAGAACAAAAUUGUUUGUGCAAGUAAUGAAAAGGGUUGAAGAGAGUUUUAAUUGGAUGUUGGUAUAAAUCUAGCUGUAGAAGAGUACAUGGUCUGAGAUGACACCAACUUCAGAGAUGAGAACAUAAAUUCUUUAUCAGAGGGGGUCUGGAUAAAUUAAGGGAGGACAAGUCCCAACAGGGCUAUUAAAUUCUAUGGUCCAGUUCUUCCUGGUGCUGGAAGCAGGGGGUGUAAGCGGGGGAUUUACUAGGGCAUCGUGUCACAUGGUAGAAGUCCUUAACAGUCUCUUUCUUGAUUCAUGAUCCCUGCAGCAGCCAGUGUGAUGGAGGUGGAUAACAAGAGUUCCUUAAGCUGUCUGUCUCCAGAAAAGUCACCCACCUGGUCCUGUGUCCCAAUUCUACCCCUCUCUUGGGGCUGGGGACACUGCAGGCAACCGAGCUACCCAUUCAGACAUCUUCUGCCCUGCUAUGUGGGAGAUGCCUUGUUUGAGUCCUAAAUAUGUUUCAUUUAAGCCCCAAUGAUGGUUUACUAAGUGCUAUAAUGUUUGCUAGGUCUCUCUUUACAUUGCUGUAAUUAUCGUAAUAAGCGGUCUUAACUGGCUCUUUUAUAAGAUACAGCGGCAUAAAAACAUCUCAGUGUGUUUUCCUUUAAUGAGCUACAACUUCAGCAUAAUCUUCCUGACUCCAUUUUCAUUGGAGUAUCAGUUACAUUGCAGCGCUAUGGGAUGCAGUGGUGGAGAUGCUGGCAACAUUUUAGAGAGGCCUUGCAGAACUUGGUGGCUCUGUCCAUGGGUUCUGUGACCAGCCAACCUUAGAGGGGCAUCACUGCCCUGGGAAGCACAGGUCACACUGCCAGCUGCUGCAGUAUUGCAGGGAAUGUAACGCAAGCACGUGUGCCUCUUGUCCAUGUAAGAACAUCAUGGGAUGAGUGAUGACAACAGGGAUUGACACCCAAAUGCUAGGGCAGAGGUUCAGUGC